CGAAAUAAUAUUGAAUCGAUACUAUCGACUCAAGUCUCAGAAUGAUCAUUUUGUAUCGAUCGGCAUCGAACAUAUGUAAUCGAUAUCGAUUUAAUGGGUAUUAAUGUUCCAUCAAUUCGUUUGGAAAUUUAAGUGUUAGUGAUUUUCUUUUGAUAUAUACAAACAGAUAUCACUAAUCGAAUGGUUUGAAUACUAUCGAUACGCUUGUAUCCAUCCAAACACUACUUGUUGAUAGUUGAAAUUAUUGUGUACAACACGCAAUUCUAUAAUGUCAUCGGAUGCGUUAGUCGGUCAACAAAAACUGCGAGGUAUGACAGGCUAUUCGUUCCUACGCAACGCGGAGCUAUUGUUCCGCGGCUAGCUAGUCCGGCCCGACAAGACGAUAAAUGGGAAAAUGAACGAGGCCUGCGAGUUACGAUCUUCCGUGCACGGUAAUUAUUCUUGGUUUUCCAACGAAUCCGUUCGGCUUAUUUUACCUACGAGAUCUAACGAGAAGAUCAUCAACCUGAAUUUCUAAUAUGCUUUUCGAAAUUGUUAUUUAUAAUUCUACAUAUAAUUGUACCAAUUUUUAGUUUUCAUUCUAUUCUUGAUUUUUAAACAAGUUCCUUGCGAACUGAUGAAAAAAAGUACAAAUGCAUAUUAAUCGUUAAAUAUAAACAAUUAAUCGCUUCAAAAAUUGAUAUCUUCACUGUGUCUGAUCAUAUACAGAAUAAUGCUACUGUCUGUGCUCUAUUCACGGAGUCGACAAAAUUUGUACCUGUCAAGAACACAAAUCGUAUUUAUCCAGUAUUUGUUUCAUUUUUGUAACGACCGCAAUUAAUCUGUACAUAAUAUGUGUAAUUUAUUGGUCAAUUAUGUAUUAUUGAGGAGUUGGUACUUACUUAGCUCACUAUUCACGAGUGGUGCCUCUUCCAAGCUUUUUCCAUGAUUUACAGGUUUUUAUUAUUGUUAUGCAUACAUGCAUUUACAAUAUAGUUUCAAUAACAAUAUUGCAGAGAAAAUAAUAGAAGCGUACUACAAAAAUUAAGAAUGGUAAUAUGUCGGAUAAGAUUUCUCCUUAUUCAUAAUAUAAAACAGUGCAAUUUUAAAAAAUUACUUUCAUUAUUGACGCAUUAUAAUAUUAUGCCGUAAAAUUAAUUAUUUAUGGCAUUAUAUUUAUUAAUUAAUAAAACAAUAAAGGAUAGAUACUGAAUUUCAUUUAUAGUUUUUUUUUCGUGUGAGUAGAAAAGGUCGGGUAUUAGUCAGACGGAUAAGGAUAUUAUAUGAAACUAUAAAACAACGGGAAUAACAAUACAACAGAUUUUUUAUUUGCAGGGCUGGCUGCCCUGUAAUAUGGAAAUAAAAAUAUUUAAUGUAUAAAAUAUAGUAAAAUAUAUAUAAUUUCCGUGUAUUGUACUAUUGUCUUUUUUUAACAAUAUCAU